AGCGAACGCUGGCGGCAGGCUUAACACAUGCAAGUCGAGCGCCCCGCAAGGGGAGCGGCAGACGGGUGAGUAACGCGUGGGAAUCUACCCUUUUCUACGGAAUAACGCAGGGAAACUUGUGCUAAUACCGUAUGAGCCCUUCGGGGGAAAGAUUUAUCGGGAAAGGAUGAGCCCGCGUUGGAUUAGCUAGUUGGUGGGGU
rnacentral:rRNA from 1 species